AGACUGAACACUUUCAGGGUCUACACGUACACGCACGUAUUCACACGUCUGCUCGCUCAGAUCCAGGGUCCGGACUCUCAGGUUCAGUUCUGACAAAAUCUAACAGACAUGAUUAUCAGACUCGGGCGACUGACUCCUGGAUACUUCCAUCUCCUGCAGAGGCAGGUAGCCGGAGAUGUCCAGGUCCAGCCUCAGCACCGCUCCCUUAACCAGAUCGCCAUGAUGCUGGCCAUUAUGGGUCUUAGCCUAUCCUACUACAGCGCAAAACAGAUGACCGAGAAGGUGCAGCGUGACCCGGUGCCCUGAACACGACCGCGGCUUUAAGAGCCAUGGAGGAGGCGUAGAUGCAAUAUUGGAAACGGAGAUUUCAACACCAUAUUCAGCACUCUUAUUUACACUACAUCACUUUGACCUUUUAGGGGUUCUAGCAAGAAAAACGUCUACAAAACUAAAUAGUGUGCACGCAUGGCCUGGGUCUUGAUAGUUGUGCUGGUUCAGGCUUCAGGGUUGCGUAAUACCUUCAAGGACAAAGCUUUGGCCGAAGAUCUUUCCAACGAUUUAUAUUUAAAGGGAAGUAGCCAGUGGUGGUUUGGCAGGGAUUAAAACUCUGUCUUAUGUAUCGAUCAACUCUUGAAAGCAGGUCGCUUAAUAAUUAGGGAUAUUUUUCAAAGCUGCCUAAGUAAAGACGAGGAAUUGAAAAGGCAGUUUCAAUCUACACUACUAUAAGAAAUAUAAAAAAAUCUGUUUGGUGGUUGAAAUUAUUAUUAUUUUUUUUGUACCAUUAUAAGCAGGUUUUAGGAUCAAUGUUGGAGGGAUGUUAACAAGCACGUCUGUGUAAAGAUUUUUAAACAAUCCCAUAUGUGACAUUAUCAUUUUUUUAUGAAUGUACUGUAUGUUGGUAUUUAAAACUUGAUGAAAUAAAGCUGUGAACAUUU